rnacentral:rRNA from 1 species
GGUAGUAUAACAAAUAAAAACCUGUAUUAUCUGGCGGUCGUUGUUUUAUUGAGGAACUCGCUAUUUAAUCGUCAACACCCGCUAAAUUUAACCUUUUUCAAUAGUCUAUAUACCGCCGUUCCAAUGCCUUCAAUAAAAAUGCUAAAUUUUAAAAUAAAAAAUCAGGUCAAGGUGUAGCAAAUAAAAAGGGUAUAGUAAGUUACAAUAAAACAAAUUUUAGGAUUUUAAUUAAAUUUUAAAUAAAAAAGAAUUCAUUUUCACAGAUAACAUUAAAACUUUAUCUAGAAAUCUAAACAUAUGACGC